rnacentral:rRNA from 1 species
AACGAACGCUGGCGGCAGGCCUAACACAUGCAAGUCGAACGCAUCGCAAGAUGGGUGGCGCACGGGUGAGUAACACGUGGGAAUGUGCCCUUUGGUUCGGAAUAACGUCUGGAAACGGACGCUAAUACCGGAUGUCCCCUGCGGGGGAAAGAUUUAUCGCCAAAGGAGCAGCCCGCGUCUGAUUAGGUAGUUGGUGGGGUAAAGGCCUACCAAGCCGACGAUCAGUAGCUGGUCUGAGAGGAUGAUCAGCCACACUGGGACUGAGACACGGCCCAGACUCCUACGGGAGGCAGCAGUGGGGAAUAUUGGACAAUGGGCGCAAGCCUGAUCCAGCCAUGCCGCGUGAGUGAUGAAGGCCUUCGGGUUGUAAAGCUCUUUCGCACACGACGAUGAUGACGGUAGUGUGAGAAGAAGCCCCGGCUAACUUCGUGCCAGCCGCCGCAGUAAAAC